rnacentral:lncRNA from 1 species
UUUUUUUUUUUUUUUUUUGAGGCAGGGUCUCUGUUGUCCAGGCUGGAGUGCAGUGGUGCAUUCUUGGCUCACUGCGACCUCUGCCUCCCAGGCUCAUCCUUCCACCUCAGCCUCCUGAGUAGCUGGGACUACAGGUGUGUGCCACCUUGCCCAGCUAAUUAAAAAGAUUUUUUUUUUUUUUUUUUUGUAGAGAUGAGGUUUUGCCAUGUUACCCAGGCUGGUCUUCAACUCCUGGACUCAAGCGAUCCACCUGCCUCGGCCUCCUAAAGUGCUGGGAUUUCAGGUGUGAGCCACUGUGCCCAGCCCGAAGAAGCUUUAUCUGAUCUGAACCUGAUUUAGAUAAGGAGGUCCUGGACUUUGUUCCAAUGCUGCAGAGAGUGAGACUUCUGUGGGGAGAGGAGUGUCCUUUGCAUUUGGGAAAGAUGUGAACUACUGUGGCCAGAGGGUGAACUAUGGUAGAUUGCUUCUAAAGAUGGGAGCAGCAAUGUUUCUUCCCAAGCAACAUUCUCCUUUGAAAUGUGACUUUGCCACCCAUCGCAUCAAGAGGGUCUUAGAUACAUGAUGGCACUGUUGGCUUCCUGAAGACCUCUUCAUCCUGCAGAAGGUGCAACUCCACAGCAUCCUGAGAGGUUGGACACAAGGCUUGGAAAGAAUGAAUGGUGCCUCUCGGUGAAUUACUACAACCUGAAUCCUGUGACCCCACCUGUGAUGGCCCAAUGUUAUUGAAAUUACUGACUCCAUCCACUUAGCAAGUGGUAAAUACUCUGCAGGCAUAGAUUUGACUAAUGUGUUCUGUUCAGCGCCUAUUUCAACAGAUCUCAGCUGCAGGUUGCUUUCACCCCCGAAGGGACACAAUAGACCGUUAUCUGGCUACCACGGGGUACCUCGACAGUUCUGCCACCAUACACAAUCUUUGCAGGCAGGAUUUGAACUGCAUCUGAC